rnacentral:lncRNA from 1 species
GCAACAUGGAGUACACUACUUUGGUUCCUUAUAAAACUCAUUGUUUACUCUCAGAUUUGAGAGAGGGUUUUUAAUUAUUAUUAUUAUUAUUAUUAUUAUUAUUAUUAUUAUUCCUUUCUGUAGAUGACAGCAUAGCUUCGUUUUUACUGCUGGGACCCUCUGGAGUCUACAGAUGGAUUGUUAGGAGACGAUACUUGGGACCCAAGCAAACCAAGCCUCAGGAGCCACUUCAUGGGAAACUGCAAAAGCCUCUGCAAAGAUGACAGGCAUUCUGCCCAGAGGCCUACAUCACAGUUGGUUCUUGAAACUUCCUUUUAUAUUUGCCUUAGCUCUUUCAAUGGAGCUGGGCUUCCCACACGGGGAGUAUCCUGUGGUGGCUAAAUGUAGGGUGACACAACUGGGCCAAGACCCUGUGAAUUCCAGCACAUUCAUGAGUUUGGUGGGAGCCUUUGGAAACCAUUGGACAAAGCCCCAAGUUUUGAUUUUUGCCCUCUCAAGUUGAGUCAGAUUGGAGGUCACCAUCUGAAGCACAGCAGGAAGGGUCAGAAUGGAUGAGCUGACUGGCAGCUUCUGCACAGCUUUUCCGGAACACUUGGUUGCCUGAGGAAUUACAUCCCGAGUAAUUGACUGGGACAAUUAGGCAGGCUCUGAAAGUCAAGCUUGGAAGGCACAUGCUGAAGUGCACCCACAAAUGGGUAAGCUCCGUUGUAGCCC